rnacentral:lncRNA from 1 species
CUCGACAUCAACAGUCUCGUGGAAAGUAUCAACAGUGGCACUCCGGCCACUGGAUUCUCCUUUAUAUCCAAUUCUCUAAAAAUACUCUCUUCUCUUCAAGAGCCCAAAGAAAUAGGAGGGCACAAUGAAAAGAAAGUACACAUUCUUGUUCCACUCGUUGGAAGGUAUGAUAUUUUCUUGAGAUUCAUGGAAAACUUUGAAAGUACGUGUAUUAUCCCAAAGCAAAAUGUAAAGCUCGUCAUCAUCCUUUUCAGCAGGGAUUCUGGCCAGGAGUCCAUCAAACACAUUGAGCU